UAAGCAUGUCUAGAGCUAAGAAUGGUGUUUGCAAACAAGGUAUUUGUCAAUGGAAAACAUGGAAGCGCUUGUUCCGCAGUGGUGGACAGGCCAUGGUCAAUCUUCCUCCUGUGUUUGCUUGAGAAAUUUUCUCUCUUGUUUUCAGUUUUUGUUUGUUUGCCAAGAAAAAAGAAACAAGAAUGUUACAAAAAGGGUAUUUCAAUUUAGUCAUGAGAUUGAUUCCCUUGUUUAAUCAUACUUUCAUGCCAAUGGUUUGUUGUUGUCUGACCUUGUAAUUUGCUCUGCAAUUAUUCUUCUGCAAAUCUGGGUUUUAUUUAUUUAUUUA